AGUGAACGCUGGCGGCGUGCUUAACACAUGCAAGUCGAACGAGAACGGGUUAUAGCUUGCUAUAAUUGUCAGCUAAGUGGCGCACGGGUGAGUAAUGUAUAGGUAAUAUGCCUCUUACUAAGGGAUAACAAAUGGAAACGUUUGCUAAUACCUUAUACUCCUUAUUAACAGAAGUUAAUAAGGGAAAGAUUUAUUGGUAAGAGAUUAGCCUGUAUUGUAUCAGUUAGUUGAUGGGGUAAUGGCUUACCAAGACUAUGACACAUAACUGGUUUGAGAGGAUGAUCAGUCACACUGGAACUGAGACACGGUCCAGACUCCUACGGGAGGCAGCAGUGGGGAAUAUUGCACAAUGGACGAAAGUCUGAUGCAGCAACGCCGCGUGGAGGAUGACACAUUUCGGUGCGUAAACUCCUUUUAUAUGAGAAGAUAAUGACGGUAAUAUAUGAAUAAGCACCGGCUAACUCCGUGCCAGCAGCCGCAGUAA
rnacentral:rRNA from 1 species